UGCCGACGCGGCGGUCAACGGCCGAGGCCCUGCAGAUCGUCGUCUCUCACCUGCUGGGCGACGCGGGGAGCCCCUACCUCAUCGGGGUGAUCAGCGACAGGCUCCGCCGUGGGGCCCCCGACUCUUUCCUGGCGGCAGCCCGGGCCCUGGAGCACGCGCUGCUGCUCUGCGCCUUCGUCGGCGCCCUGGGCGGCGGCUUCUUCCUCGCCACCGCGCUCUUCCUCGAGGGCGACCGCCGCCGCGCGCAGCUUGACGCGCAGCGGAUGCUCCCCGCUGAGCACAGGGACGACGGGGAGAUCGUGGUGCCGCAGCGCGGCCGCCCCGCCAAGGUGCCCGUGUCCAGCGUCCUCAUCUGAGCCRUGGCCCCUGCCCCGAGGACAUCCCCACGGCGGGGGCAGCUCAGGGACACUGGGGGACGGGGACGGGACUGGUUUGUACUCCAUUAAACCCUUUUUACGUCUCUCCUGGCUCCGCGCGGUCCUGGGGAGCGGCGGGGGCUGGCGCAGGCCCCAAGUGCGGGCGCGCCAAGGCCUCGCACGGCCGGGGCGGCACUCGUCCCCCCCAGCGCAUCCCUCGCGCCAGGGCGUCACGUGGGCGCGUGCCUCCCCGGGCCCGGCCUCGCACAGCCGUGCCCCCCCCGCCCCCCCGCGCCUCCCCCCGACUUCCUGCCCCACGGGCGGGCUGCCCGCAGCUUCCUGGAGGGGGUGGGGGCCCCGCGCGUGCGAGGACCGACCGGGGCUGCCAGGCAGCGCCAGGAGGAGGCAGAGCCGGACGUCGCCGGAGCCCAGGCCUCAUGGACGCGCUGUGGCCCGAUGGGGUGCUCUGGGGCCUCCUCCUGCUCGUCCCGACCGUGCUGCUCACCGCCCUCUGCGCCCGCUGCCGAGACCCCCGUGGCCACGGUGCCCAGAUUGA
rnacentral:lncRNA from 1 species